AACAAUCAGUAUGGUUUCAGAGAAUAUGAGAAUAUUUGUUAAUAAAAAACAUUCAAAAUUUAUCUCUGCUUCUCUUUCUCCAACGCGAUUUAGUAUAGGGAAAUCUACUACGUUAAUCAAAUAAGGUUAGGUCUUGGGAUUUGACUCUUGUGGAUGACAAUUAAGUU